GAUGAACGCUGGCGGCGUGCUUAAUACAUGCAAGUCGAGCGAACAGACGAGGAGCUUGCUCCUCUGACGUUAGCGGCGGACGGGUGAGUAACACGUGGAUAACCUACCUAUAAGACUGGGAUAACUUCGGGAAACCGGAGCUAAUACCGGAUAAUAUAUUGAACCGCAUGGUUCAAUAGUGAAAGACGGUUUUGCUGUCACUUAUAGAUGGAUCCGCGCCGCAUUAGCUAGUUGGUAAGGUAACGGCUUACCAAGGCAACGAUGCGUAGCCGACCUGAGAGGGUGAUCGGCCACACUGGAACUGAGACACGGUCCAGACUCCUGCGGGAGGCAGCAGUAGGGAAUCUUCCGCAAUGGGCGAAAGCCUGACGGAGCAACGCCGCGUGAGUGAUGAAGGUCUUCGGAUCGUAAAACUCUGUUAUUAGGGAAGAACAAAUGUGUAAGUAACUAUGCACGUCUUGACGGUACCUAAUCAGAAAGCCACGGCUAACUACGUG
rnacentral:rRNA from 1 species